GCUCCUCCCCUCCCCUGACAUCGCGUCGCCAUGUUAGAGCGAAAGUAGGAACUGAGAGGGACGUGUUUGGUGCGCUCUAUGUCGGAGGAGAAGGCUGGGUAGUUGCCUGGGGGGCGCUGUGCAUGGCUCGGGGGAGAAACCUCGCUUGCUCAGGAGCGAAUAUCCGAAGAGCUCAGUAGCGUUUUUGUGGGGACGCCGUGGGCGGCUGAAUUGGGGACGCCGUGGCUAUGAGCGAGGGUGAGAAAGUGCCCGAGCAGCCGCCUCGGCGCGGGGAGAACGGUAGCAGCGGCCUCUCGGCUGUGGAGAAGAAAGCGGCCGCCGCCGAAGCGGAGGAUCCGACACAAAAUGGCGGUGCUGGCUCCGAAAGAAGCUGGAGCGAGGAGGAGCGGCUGCUGCUGGGUCUGGGGAUUGCCGCCGCCAGCGCCGCAGAAGGCCGGGGAUCCCCGAGCAAUGGCCACCGCAAGAGUAGCGCCUCGGCGGCCCACGAGCAGCCCCAUCCACAGCCGCAGAGCGACGGGCUGAGGGCCUCGCUCUCCAAAGCAGCUGAAGACCUGCCUGUUAAAAGAAACUUUCAGAUCCCCAAGAAGAGCAAAGAAAAGAAAGCUCUCUUUCAGCCAAUAACUACUGGAUCUCGUGACUUUGAUGACAUUAUAAACAUUUUGCAUUCGGCAUAUUUGGACAGUCCUUCAAAGGAUCAUUUUACUUACAAAACAGCCAGUUAUGUUCAUAGUGAACUCCUAGAAAAGGAGUUCACAGAGAAACAGAGAGAAUUGAAACGUGAUGGACGAACAGAAAAAGAGCUUGCUGAAACGUAUGCAUUUCUGAUGGUUGACCGUGCUUUGGUGCAAAGCAUAUGUGAAAAUGGCUUGCAGGUGGGCCAUUCCAAUCUAACUACUCUUGGCUGCCUUGGCAACAGUUCUAUGGGUGUAUAUCUCUCUAGGUAUUCUGAUUUGUUACAAGUAAAUGCCCUGGAGGCUAGAGCAACUGGUGAUAUUAUUAUUUUUAAAGUAAUAAAGGGAAAAAUGAAAAGCAUAUAUGAUAACCUGGGAGUAAAACCAACAGAUUCAACUGUUAAAAGUACAUUAGACCCUGCGCCAAAGCAUGAAUGCCAUGUUUUCAAGAAUGCGAACAAAGUUAGUUCAAUCUACUCAUAUAGAGCAUAUGAGCGUACACAGUAUUAUUUCUAUGAAUACAGCUUUGAUGAAAUCAGACUAAGACCAAGACAUGUAUAUCCGUAUGCUGUCGUAUCAUUUUCUUACAAAGAUGAAAAGAUACAAAAGUAUUUGCCUCAGUCAAGAUCAAAGAUGUCUAACUUGGAUAAGACCUCAGAGAAGCCAACUUACAUGUUAUGGAAAGGGCAGCUUUUAAACAGAGGGAUGCUUGUAUGCCAUGCUGCUUUGAAAUCAGAAACUCGUCCUUUGCUCCCCUGCAAACUUCCGGAGAAACUUGAUGUUGAAAUGGUUUUGAGCAUUGAACACUUGACAAAGAAAAUCUCACCAAAAAUGUUAUAUAAAGAAACUUAUUCAGGGGAACGGGAAGAAUACAAGAAUGGAAUGUACUGUAGUCUGUAUGAAGUUGUGGAAAAGACUAGAUCGGGAAGUAAUUUGGAAGGUUUACUUCAGAAGCUGGAGAGAGAAAAACUGGUUAUUGUUAAACCACUUGUAGACAAGGGAUAUCUCUUGCUGCUUUCUUCUCGUCAGAUGGCUUCACCACAUGAGAUCCCAGCAGGAAGGCCUUCAUCUCUGCAAGCGUUGUUCCUAUUUCAACAUCCUAGAAGUAUAGUGUCUUCAACACACAAAAAUGAACAGAAGAAUGCCAGUCGUUCGAUACAGCAGGAAACUCAUGUUGUUAUGCCAGAAUUUACAAAAUUUAUUCAGUCACUGCAUUAUGCUUAUAAUCAUUCUCGUAAAGACCCUAAAUCUGACUUAAAUACUGCGGUGGAAAAGUAUAUAAGUCAGUAUCUGAAAGAUUACAGUAAAUACAAGGAAUUUUUUUUGUACCCAUAUAAAUCAUCUUUGGAUGACAAAAGGUUCCUCUAUAUUGCACCAAAAAAUAAAUCCAACUUUGAUAGCGCUUUACGUGCCUACAUUUUUGGUUCUGAAGCCUACCAGAUUCCUGUUUCCAAGGCCAAAAAAAUAAUGGAAGGGAAUCGAAAAUCUCAGCAGUUCAGUCCUGUUUCAGAUUAUGAAGCCCCAGAAGAGGAAUCUGACUACAUGAAAAGAAAAGCUGGAAAAAGAAAUGGCUCUAAAUGUGAAACUCUGGCUUCUAAAAGAAAGCCUUUCCACCCUGGAGACUAUGAUAAAGAAAGUAUCAAUAAGUUGAUUGACUUAAUUCAGUGUAAGAAGCAAAAUGUGGAUAGAGAAUCUGAUACAGAAGACAAUAGAAACAAAAGCAGACUGAAACGCAAGUUGGAAAGUAAUAGAGAGGGCCCACAAAAAUACUUAAAAAUUAGCGAUUCUUCAGAAAGCAUUUCUCAAAAUGAAAGGGACAGAACUUCAGAAUCACUUCUUUCAAUUAUAGCUGAUCUCGGCGGACGUGACACUGAUUUGAGACAGCAGAAUGUUUCUGAUCCUCCCAUUGCUGAUACAUCUGGUGUCUUGAGGCUGAUUUCUGAAGUAUUAACUAAUCCAGAGUCACCAUUGGCAAGACGUAUUAACCAAGCUUUAGCAGAAAACAAUUCAAGACAAGCUGCUGAGUAUAAUUGCAUUCCACCACAGGUCAAGGAAGAACCUGAGCUUCCUAAUAUUGCAAACAUAGAAAAUGUGCAGUUGAAGGACCCUCAAAGCCCCGUAAAUCUGGCAGCUGAUGCAUCGUGCUUACCUUAUUCUGUUGAUGUCUCUACUAGUGAAGCAGAGAUUGAUCACAUGCUACAUUUCAAAGAAACAAGCACUGGAAGUGUAAGUAGCUUUGAAGGCUGCAGCAAUCCUAGCACACCCAUUGAACAGAACUCUCACAGACAACAUUCCAGCUCAAAUAACAUUGGGUCAACUGAAAUACACUGGAAAUUAAUUCCAAUCACAGGAGGGGCAGGAAGAGUUCCUGAGGAGCAACUGAGAAAACAUGGAGAUAACCAAACAGGCCUAAAGUCUCCAGAAGAAUCACUGGCUUACUCACCACCAAAGGAUGCAUCUGAAAAUGACCCCCGGGUGAUAAACAGGCAAAGAAGUUCAGAUUAUCAGUUUCCAUAUUCUGCAUUCUCAGAUGUACAGAAAGGAAGACUAGAUGAUGGUAUAUAUACAGAAGAGGAGAAAUUUGAAGAUCAGGGUGAACUUGAAGCAGAGCACAGUUUUGCAAGUAAACACCCCAUAAGUGGAUUAAUAGAAACAGCAAUAUUAGAAGAAUACAAUCUUUUCACCAAUAAGAUUCAGGAGAUUUUGCAACAGAAGAAUAUAAUGUAUGUCAGUAGAAUAUCCAGACCUGUUCUUUCAGCCCAGGAAAGGGUCAUGAAGCUUUCUGAAUAUAUAUGUUUACAGGCAUCAGAAAUUGCUGUCCAGGAAUACAUAGAGGCACUUAGCGAAAAACUCAACAAUGUUGUUGCUUUGUCAUCUUCACAUGUUGGUAUCCAAAGUGCACAAUUUCCUUGCAGUCCUGGACCAGCAGAUGAUUCGGUUAUUGAUACUGUACUGAAUCUGUCAUUAGAAGAGCCUGUAGUUGUUGAAAAUGAUUUUGAUGUGGAACCCUUGCCAGAGCCACUGUGUAGCAGUGUAGAAGAGAAUCCAAGCAUUAACGAGCAGAAUCAGUCAGUGAUCUUGGAUAUUGGAAAGGAACAGUGUCCAGCAACCACCAGUGUAGGGAUGAAGUUGAUAGCUGAUUCAGAUGUUUCAACUGAGGACCCUCUGCAGCAACCAGAUAAAACCCCAAGGCCUGUAGAUAAUACCACAAACUUGACAACCCAGCCAGCCUUGGCUGGCUUCAUAAGCCAGUUGAAACCUGAAGUAUUUGAUAGUUUUGUGAAAAUUAUGCAAGAUGUGCAAAGGCAAAAAAACAUUGUGAAAUUCUACAUUCAUGAAGAACAAGAGAGUAUGCUUUGUAAAGAAAUAAAGGAAUAUCUCCUUGAUCUCCGUAAUACAGAGUGCCAUCCUGAGCAAUUCUUGAAAAAAAGAGCAGAGUUUGAUAAACUGCUUAUAAUUAUUCAAAAUGAAGAUAUUGCCAGUCUAAUUCAUAAGAUACCAUGUCUAGUAGAUUUGAAGAAACUCUCGUGUGUCAAUUUCGCUGGUGUUGACAGUUUGGAUGAUGUGAAAAAUCAUACAUACAAUGAAUUAUUUGUUUCUGGUGGCUUCGUUGUGUCUGAUGAAUCUGUUCUUACUCCAGAGUCUGUCACAGUUGACAAACUUAACAAGUUUCUGAAGUUUCUUGAAGAACUGAGUACUCCAGAUGGGAAGUGGCAAUGGAAAGUUCACUGUAAAAUCCAGAAAAAAUUGAAGGAACUUGGGAGAAUGAAUACAAAUGCUAUGAGCUUGCUGACACUUCUGAAUACUUAUCAAAAGAAACACAUGGUAGAGAUUCUGUCAUACCAUCAAUGUGAUUCUCAAACCCGAAAUCCUCCUGAAUUAGACUGUCUCAUAAGACUUCAGGCUCAGAAUAUACAACAGAGGCACAUUGUCUUCCUGACAGAAAAGAAUGUUUCUGCAUUUGAAACGUACGCUGAUAAUGGAAUAGUGGUUACUACAGUUGACUACUUCAUGCACAACUUUAAACGUCUUGUUGGCUACCAUAACUCAGUUUCUGAAGAAAACAGACUUCCUUCCCCCAUUGAUCAUGAAAGACAAUCAGCAGGUUGCUUAACAAAGGAACAUGCUGAAGAGUUGAUUCCAGAUGAUAGCUUGAUUACAGCAUCAGUGAAUGGUUAGAGAAAUAACUCCAGGAGAAUGCCAGCAGAGAAAGUCAAAAGAACUGCAUGAUAAGAGGACAGGAUGAGAAAAGAACUCAUGAGAAAAUCAAGACAGAAGACUAAAUAAUGUAGAAAAUUCUAAUUAUGCAAACACUACAAUAUUAACUGUAAAUUUAGCUUAUGCAAUACCUGCCGUAGUUCCGAGAGUCCUUUGAGUAUGGCUUGCUGCCUGUUUCUCACCACGUUAGGAUUAAAAAGUGGAUCCGUUAUAUGAUCGGAGCUAAAAAUCUGUCGUGGUGUAUGGAGUGCAUCUAAAGUACCAUUCAGCUGUUGGUAUUGCAGAUCAUGCGUCGAAGGUCUAGUCAUAAGUGCAUCUGGAUCAAGUAUCAUUCACAUGUGCUCUGCGCCUGUGCAGUUGCUCCUGCAGAAGGAUUCACUAGCUCCCUUGAAGCGCUCUGAAGCCAAGCCCUCUGCACAUGGAGCCCGCUUGGUGUCUGAUGCCACAGCACUGUUUUCCUCAGUUCCUGGACGGACAUCGUGGAACUGAAGUUUUGGUCAGAAGAGACAGCUGUGAUUGUUCCUGGUAGAGGCUUUCCUUUCGUGAAGGAGGAUAUUAUUUAAAAUCUCCACACAGUCAUAUUCAGUGUCUUGAAGCUGUGGUGAAGGACCCUCCCUUCAUACUGAUGCAGGAGAUCUGGACAGAGUUGGAGAUAACGGUGGAACCCUGGAGACAGAUGGAAGAGGAGAGGAAACCAGGGCUGCCUUGGCCACCAUGGGAACCAUGGACGAAGGAGUGAAUCUCUGAGGAAGAUUCCUCAGAGGACAGAACAACAUUUCUGCAUAUUGCACAACAGAGAACAGAAAAGAACUGAGGGAAACAGCACUAUGGUGCCAAAAAUACCAAAUGCACUCUGUGUGCGAAGGGCAUGGCUUCAGAGCACUUCAAGGAGCUAGUGAAUCCUUCUGUGGGAGCAACUGCAAGGCGCAGAACCCAUCUUGGGAAUAAUACCAGUCCACCACAAAGAUUUCAAGGUUUUGCGUUCCACAUUAUAGGAUGGUUAUUGCUACUCAUUUAAAAACAGAAACUGAAUGUCAAAGAAGUGGCUUUAUGUUUUAUACUAGGUUAUACUGGGUACUGACAAAAGCUAUUCUUGUUUUGCAGAAGAUGCUAAAAUGGUCUCAAAUAGAACAUGAACAUAACAUAAUGCAACCUUUGACCCACUCUUAAUUUUAAAUUUUCAUCCCAAACUAGCUUGUCAGAAACCAGGCAUACAGGAGAAACUCCAUAUUUUAUUUAUUUAUUUAUUUAUUUGGCAAAGAGGCACCUUUUAACGUGGUGAUUCUCUUUAUAGAGCAGGGGGAGAGUAACUGGCCCUCUCCACCCCCAGCACAGUACCUCCAGUGACUGUUGCUGGUGUCUCUCUUAUAUUUCUUUUAGAUUGUGAGCCCUUUGGGGACAGGGAGCCAUCUUAUUUGUUUAUUAUUUAUCUGUGUAAACCACCCUGAGCCAUUUUUGGAAGGGCGGUAUAGAAAUUGAAUGAAUGAAUAAAUGAAUAAAUAAAUAAAUAUUUGAUUUGUAUACCGCCCUUCCAAAAUGGCUCAGGGCGGUUUACAUAUUUGCAGACUUGCCAUCCGCAGUUUCGCAUAUCUGCAGUUAGGUGAUUGAUACCUGACCUCGCCAACCCACAAAGGGUUAAUUCUGCAUAUCCAUGAGUUGGAGGCAGACGGAAAUGACUGCAGAGGUCAUUUCCGGCCACCAUUUGUGAAACAGAGCCAUUUUGUGGCUCAUUUGCACUAAAAACUGAAAAAUGAGGGAAAGCUGAAAAACAGACUAUUUCUGACUUCUGGUGGACGUUGCUGGAUUGUUGGAGGCCUGAAGAACACAGUAGAGGACUGUAUUUUGCCCUUCAAAACCUUUAUUUUGCAUUUUUCCUGCCUCCAGGAACCUAACCCCUGCGAUCCCAUUGUCCCAGUGAUCCAGCAUUCAUGUUUUUUUAAUCUGCGGUAAUUGCGGAGAACAGAAUCCCCGCAAAUACUGAGGUUCUCCUGUAUAGCAAAACCUAUCUCUGAACAGUGAAGCCAGAGCUAAUGGUAACAUUAGAUGAGAACUAAUUUAUUUCUGGUCCUGCAAGCUAUUCAGUCCACUUCUUGUCACAUGAUCCAGAAUAGUCAAUAGAGAAUUGAGUGGAGUAGAGCUGUGGACCAAUAAAGCUGAUCUUAUUCUCCCUCACAUUAGAUUCCAGCUGGUUUCCACAGAUUUAUAGAGUUAUUUGGCAUUUAGUCAAUUUAAGAUUAAACCUUACUUCACCACUUUUUAAACAAAUUGGGUGAAAAUAAUAUGAAAAUAACAAAAUUAUAUAAAAUUGCAUUGAAACAUGUACAACUUAGGCCCAAAGGAUAUCUCAGAGUACUCCUCUUUAAAAUUUGGAUUAAGUCAUUAUGUAUGUGAUUGAAACCUAUGCCUUUGGUGGUGCCAUUUUAGCUCUAAUGCUCCCUUUUUUGUUAAGCCUUUCGACUAAUUCCCAGCUAAGGGAUUAUGAAGUAGCUUGAAAUUAUGAAAUGAAGCCAAGUAUAUUUGCUUAUAUUUAUCCCUUUUUAGCCUUCGAUACUUUCCCUCAUCUUGUCUAAAUUUUAAAUUGUAAAGUUCCACCACAGAGAUCAUCUUUUGUGAAAGGACAGGGUCAAGUUCACUGAUGGCAUUAUAUAAAUAACAAGAAAUAAAUUAGAUUUUGACAUUAAAAGACACAUUUCAGUCUGCAUGGUACUUGAAAAUUUGCAGAUUUUACAUUUGGAUUCUCAAAGUAGUCUUUGUCCAUAAAGAUAAAAUUUUGUAGUAGAAUUUAGAAUCAUUUGGCUGACAUCUAAUGCAAUGUGAAUGUGCCACCAGAGCUUCUCCUCUACUGCAGGGGCGGGAACAUACAUACGAGGGGCGGGAAAGUGUUCAUAUGGACCCUUCCUGCUUUGGGAUGUGCCCUGUGCCUUCCAAAAAUGUUUUUGGAAGGCAAAGAGCACUUCCCAAAGUAGGAAAUAUCAGCAAAAUUGCUCCCCUGUACACACACAUGCACUGUGUUGGUGGGGAAGCCUCUGGCUGUAUUUGGAGUAACCUCUUGCUGCAUCCUUGCUUCUUUAGUCCAGAUGGCAGCCAUUUGUAUAUUUUAAAGCUGAUAUCCAAAAGUCAUGAAACCAUGAUCUAGUGAACUUAGAAUUAAAACUACUUUUUUUUCUUUAUCUAACUAAAACAUUUCUCUUUAAUUUUUUUUUUUAAGGAGAUACCUACCUUUGCUCAAUCAGGUUGUUUUUAGAUGAUGAUUCUUCCUAAAAUAAGACCAAAAUAAAUAAAUGAUUUUUCUCACCUCUCUAUUUUGUAAUUAAUACCUUAGUUAGCUUGGAAGGUAUUUUGGAAGGCAUUUCAUUUCAGCUUUGAGUGUUAAAAAUCACCAUGUUAGAAUGUAGGAACAUAGGAAGCUGCCAUAUACUGAGUCAGACCAUAGGUCCAUCUAGUUCAGUAUUGUCUUCACAGACUGGCAGCAACUUCUCCAAGGUUGCAGGCAGGACUCUCUCAGCCCUGUCUUGGAGAAGCAAGGGAGGGAACUUUGAAACCUUCUGCUCUUCCCAGAGCAGCUCCAUCCCGAGGGGAAUAUCUUUCAGUGCUCGCACUUCAAGUCUCCCUUUCAUAUGCAACCAGGGCAGACCCUCCUUAGCUAAGGGGACAAGUCAUGCUUGCUACCACAAGACCAGCUCUCCUCUCCUCUCCUCGAUUGGCAUUUUUAUGGCACAUUCAUGGGUGAGAGACUUAUGUCAUACUCCCUAGUAUAUAACGUGCGUGGUCCUAUGCUUAUCAUUUGGAAGUAAUAUGGAGCUAUCCAAAUAUAAGACAAUGGUUUCCUGCAUACUUGGAGUAUACCCUUGGCAUGCAGAGGUGUAUUUGUUUGCAAAGAAACAGAACUGUUAAUUCUAAACGACAUCCUGACAAAGUGACUUCCAGGACCUAUGGAAUGAAAAUUGAGGGGAAAGAGGGGGAAGAAAAUCAAACCCUAGGAACUUAUUGUAUUCCAGGGGAAGUUUUAGGGUUGGAGGAAGCAUGCCAUUAGGUUAAAAAAAACCCUCUCCUCAGUACUGUAUGAAGCAGCUUUAGGAGGGGAGAAAGGGGAAAGGAAAUUUUUAUUUUCCUACUUUCUAGAUCACCUCACCUAUCGCUAUAUAGCAUGUCAUGAAUCCUGUCGCUUAUUAAGAUCAGCUGGAGAGAUCUGGUUACGGUUGCCUCCAGCUCGUUUGGUAGCAACUCAGGACUGGGCCUUCUCUGUGGCUGCCUCACUUUGAAAUAUGUUCCCUGUUGAAAUAAGAGUAUCACCUUCUCUGUUUGCUUUUAGGAAGGCCCUCAAGAUGCACCUGUUUUUCCAGACUUUUAACAAAUUAAUUUUAAAUUGUUUUUUAUCUUAUGAGAUACUGUUUUUUAAAUUUGUUAAAUUUUAACAGUUUUUAUUUUGUUUUAUAUUUGUUGUGUUUUAAUUCUGUACACUGCCUAGAGAUGCUCAUAUCAGGCAGUAUAAACAUAAUAAAUAAAUAAAGAGCUCA